AUUGAACGCUGGCGGCAGGCUUAACACAUGCAAGUCGAACGAGUGGCGGACGGGUGAGUAAUGCUUGGGAAUCUAGCUUAUGGAGGGGGAUAACUACGGGAAACUGUAGCUAUUACCGCGUACCAUAGGAUGAGCCCAAGUGGGAUUAGGGAGUUGGUGAGGUAAAGGCUCACCAAGCCGACGAUCUCUAGCUGGUCUGAGAGGAGGACCAGCCAAACUGGAGCUGAGACACGGCCCGACCUCCUACGGAGGGCGGCAGUGGGGAAUAUUGCACAAUGGGCGCAAGCCUGAUGCAGACAUGCCGCGUGUGUGAAGAAGGCCUUCGGGUUGUAAAGCACUUUCAUCGAGGAGGCGUUACUCGCAGAAGAAGCACCGGCUAACUCCGUGCCAGCAGCCGCGGUAAUAC
rnacentral:rRNA from 1 species